rnacentral:tRNA from 1 species
GGGGACAUAGCUCAGUGGUAGAGCGUUCGCUUAGCUUGCGAAAGGCCGUUGGUUCGAUUCCUUCUGUCUCCA